AAGAAACUUCUUGGGUCGACUCAACGUUGGGUCGACCCUAUUCUGGGUUGGGUCGACCCAAGUGCAGACUUUUUCUUUUCUCUUCCUUUUUGCUUCUAAAAAGUUUUCCUUGCUUCCAAUCCUUAUAAACUCUUUAUGGGACAAUGAUACAUGAGUAAGGAAUCUAUAGAUAACAAAUGUGACUCAUGUUUCAUGGGUUUUUAGAAAUGGGAGGAAUGUAUCAUGAGACUGCUUGCUC
rnacentral:lncRNA from 1 species